GGAAGUCCUCGUGUUGCAUCCC
rnacentral:snRNA from 1 species